GUAGUCGGAUUCACAUCAAUCCACAUGUGUUGAGGUGGAUUGGAGUGGAAUUUGAACUAAAUUUCACCUCAAUCUACACCAAAACACAUGGAUUAAAAUGAAUCCGAUA
rfam:Sorghum bicolor cultivar BTx623 chromosome 7, whole genome shotgun sequence.